GAGACUGUCCAGUUUGACCAAUGUACAUGGCAGAGGGGCAUUGCUUGCACAUGAUGGCAUAUAUCACAUUGGUAGAUGUGCAGGUGAACGAGCCUCUGAUAAUGUGGCUGAUGUUAUUAGGCCCUGUGAUGGUGUCCCCUGAAUAGAUAUGUGGGCACAGUCCUUAUUGUCGGCAUUCAGCUUCUGUGGCGGUGAACACGGGACAGAUGGCCAGACAGAUCUUUGAAAUCUGGGCUUGGCAAUCUGAGAGGUCUCGACACAGCAGGGAGAGUGAGAAAACAAAGGCCCAAUUCUGCUAUCAGUUAGUUGGACACAAGUCCCACUGAUUUCCAUAUUUGUGCCCAUUAUAUGGCAGAAUUAGGCCCCAAGAGCCUAUCCAAAACCAGUGGGGAAAUGGGCAGAAGAGUCUCUAUGAGAUUUGAAGAAAGUAGACAAGAUGUAUAGGAAGGGCCUGAUUUUUAUUUAAAUUUCCUGAGAUUCUGGUUGAUCUGGGCCCUGUUUAAUUAUAGCCUAUGCUGCCCUCUCCUCCAAACACCUCCAGAUAAUUUGGCAUGGCUGAGAAUCCCUGUUUGGGAAAGACCUAGGCAGGGCUAGACUUAUGAAGGCACAACGAUGCAUUAGUGGCACUGCCUCUCCAAGCCACAUGACAAAAUUAAGUGUCAUGUCUAAGAUGGCAAGGAAUAAGCAUAAGCCAAAUAGCUUGUGGAGUGACAGAGAAUAUCUAAGUGCUCAACAUGAAAGGAUUUGGGCCUCCCUCUCCUAGAAAGAAUAGCCACUGGGAGCAAGUUCAGAGAGGUGGAACUGAUGACUAUUGGGCUCCUCUGUCUGCUGCGGGUGUUCCUAGUGGGAGAGCCCCACAACAAGUUGCUUAUACUCACAGGUGAUGAGCAUAGCCCAUAGAAGGGCCAGAGAAUUCCCCCACCUCAGCCUCUAUUGGCCCAUUUGCCGAUACGAGGGCACUGCAGUGGGCAGAGGGGCGUAGCAGUUAUGGGAGGACACCUUAGCACUUCCCCAGAUAGAUGCAACUUCACCUUCUUCCAGAACGUGCUCGUCACUUGCAAGCAUUGCCAUGCCAGGGCUGGUGCUGGACAGAGGCUGCUACCUUGCAUCAACAGCGAGCUGUGCAGGCAAGAGGGCUCCGAGGUUGUUAGGUUGAGGUGUGCGCUAGAAGAGAAGUGCAAGUGUCUUUGGGACCAUGGGAGCAGCACAUGAGGAUGAGAAAAGGAAGCAUUCUUCAGUACUGGGAGAAAGCACAAGACACUGUGAGAGCGGCUAGGAAAGUGGCUGAACCCAGAGACUCCACAACCUGCUACUUGCUACCAGGGAACUUAUUUUGCAGAACAGCUUGUGCUUUUAUUGCAGAAGUUCCAGGAUUUGAUCCUCCCUGGCAACCGUGUCUUUUCAUGAGGUCAAGGAGGACAAGCUGGUGGGAUGAUUUAGCAGCUCAGUUCAUGCUGCUGCAUGUCGCAGAGCAGAUAAAACUUCAGGACUCUUGCUCAUGGAGUUGGAACUCUCACUAUGGCAAGAUGAUCUUCCCCACACGGUGGCAUUGGGAACAUGAACAGUAACGCUUGCUCAACAGGGCUAGAGCACAUCCCCGACUCUUCAGAGAACAGAUCCCUGAGUCUUCACAAGAGAGCCUGAUCUGAAAGGCCCAGGCUCAAAAUCACAGCUAGCUCGUUUUAAGCUUUUUUUUCCUUUGAGAUUGCAUCAAAGCCCAUGCAUGGUUUUCUGUUGCCUUCAGUGAGAGCAAGACCAGGCCCUUACUCCUCAUGGCAGUCAUAAUCAUUCCAGGUGAUUUUUCCAUUUCCCUGGAGAGAAUGCAGUGCUUGGAUCUCUUUGAGUUCACCCACUGCCAGCAGUUGGACAAUUUCAAGACCUGCUAGCACUGAACAUGGGUCAGCCUGGGAUUCAGAAAGAUCGGACAUUUCAUCUUUCUAGGGCACUGCUAUCCCCUAGUGGCAAGCUGGAAAAGUGACAUGUCUCCCUGCUGCUUUAAACCGGGAAAUGAUAUAGAGAGGGUGCAGCCUGAAUGGCUAAGAGUUAUUUACCCCUUUUUUACACACACACACACACACACACACACACCCCACCGUCCUGUCCCUCACAUGACUGCAGAUGAUCGUGGACACACAGGGCAGUCUGGAUUAUUGAAAAGAGAGGCAGAUGGCUAUGUAGACAUUUUUAGUUUACCAUCAGAGAGUCCCUGUAGCUUUUAGAAUGUGGGGUUGUGGAGGUUGAAUGCCUGGGUGGAUAUGAUCUCCGCCUUGUCUAUUAGAACCUGGAUGUUAAGCCAUAAAUCAUCAGAAUGGGGAUUUUCUCUAGGUCUACAAUAAUUUCUCAGACUUGACCUUGAUGCACAGAGAACACUAGAUAGGCAAUUCUUUUAGAUAGAAAUAAGUCCCGGCUUGACAAAGCCCUGGCUGGGAUGAUUUAGAUGGUGUUGGUCCUGCUUUGAGCAGGGGGUUGAACUAGAUGACCUCCUGAGGUCUCUUCCAACCCUAAUCUUCUAUGAUUCUAUGAUAAAGAGAAUUACAUGGCACAAGGAAUUAAUGAUCUCUGUACAGUCAGAGAUGAGAUGACCACCAUUUUUUUAUUUUGUUGGAGCGUGGCUAGAAUUUUAUUAAUUUGAGUUUAUCAGGAUAAUGGGAAAAAUUCUGAAAAGCACGUAAGUGACUUGGGAGCCUAAAGCUCAUUGAUUUUUUCAAUGGUACAUGGGCUCCUAAAUCCCUAAUAUGCAUUUGAACAUUUUGCCCAAUGACAAUAAUGUUAUUUAUCAAGCCUCCUGCCAAAGGGGUUGGCUGGUGUACAUUAAUUAUUACUUUAAUUUGUAUUACAGUAGCAUCCACAGAGCUCAAGUGAGAUAAUGGUCCCUUCUGCCCUGCCCUUCUGCCCUUCUGCCUUGUGCUAGGCACUGUACAAAUGCACGAGAGAGUCAGUGACCCAAAGAGCUUACAAUGUAAUUCAAUGCCCAUUCAAAUAAAUAGACUCUUCCUAUUGACUUCUGUUUUAAUUUAAUCUGGCCAUAAACAGACAAGACAAUAAAGAGAUUUUAAAAUACAAUUAAGCACAGAGAACAAACAGAGAUGUGACUGGCACAGGGCAAAAAGGGGAGGAAUCAAGUGUAGGCGAUUAUUCCUGUAGGGGGAGCACCAGAUGGGGCUCAGAGGUGGUUUGCACACUGUCUUUCAGAGGCACAUGUUCCUGAGUAGCUCUGCAACUGGGUCUGAUCAGACAAGAACCCCUUAGAACCAUCACUCUGAGAGUCUGAACUGAGUUUUGAUUAGUGGGUCCAUCCCCCUCCCCCCACUCUAGUUUCUAGCUGGGUGGAGGCCACGUGAGAAAGUCUCUUCCCAUGAGAUCCUCAGGAAGGAGAGGUUUUGAGAGGCUUGGGCUGAAUAUUCAACCAGUUGAGCACAUACCAAAGCACUGACCCUCAUGAGCUUCACCCAGCCUGAGAGAUGCCAUGGCUUUGGCCCUCUUUCCCCACCAGACCCUGACAGCUGAUGUCCCAGCUGCCACCGCUUUUCCUGUCCUGAGGGAGAGAUUCGAGGUCCACCAAUGAAACGUAAAGCAAAAGCUGCUGGAGCGGCAGUUCCAGCCGACAACCUGAACAGAGCGGGAAAGCGGGAGGCAGACUGGCAUCUGAGAGAUUGCUUUUUUUAACUCUGAAGAGAAAUUGGCCAAGCAGCACAUGUUCCCUGAGGCGGUUUUGCUGCUUCAAGCUCAUUUGCGGAUGAAGGUUCCAUUUUUUCGAUCCUCCAUCUCCUGUUCCGUACUAGUCCUGGUUCCCCUGGAAGUUUUGGUUCUGAUGAGUACCUCAAGCCCCCUCGUUUCUCCUUUUUCAAUUGGCACCUUGGCUUUUUACUGUUAAAAACUGUGGGUUUUGAGCCCCUUCCCGGCCUCGUUUCAGAGUGGGGGGAGCAAUUGGAAAAGUUGGGGCACUGUCAUAUCUGCCUGACUGGGGAGCAAGAGCAGCCUGGAAUUGGAACAGGAAGUUGAUCCAUUUCCAUAUUGCCUGCACCUCUCCCUCCGAGUGAUCCUGCCAUACCCAGAGAGGAAUUGUGUCCGACUGAACUCAUACACCUGCCUGCUCUGCAUCAUCUCUGACCCUGGACUGCCCAACAAUGAAUUGAGUCCUGCUGCAUCCUCACUGUAACCUUGCCUGCCAAAUAAAUGUUCAUGCCCUUUUGCACUUUGGCACCAGCCUGGCACUGCUGUACCUCAGUAUUUCUGGCCUGAUGCUGCAGAGUUAGGUUCCACCUGGGCACUUGGCAAGAUGUAAGAGCAGCUCGCAGGAGACAUCUGAAUCUGAUACCAUCUCCUUUGCUCUGAACCCCAGUGAAGAACAAGAGGCUGAGCAGCUCAGUAAUACAGAACAAGUGACAGUUUGAUUUAUUCUGGUGUUAGUGAGGAGCUUCUUGGGCUGCGUAACAACACAUCCAGCAGCUCUCCAAAGAGGCAGCAUGCAUACAAGCCUGGGCAUUAGGAACUCCUGAGUUCUAAUCCUGCCUCUGCCACUAAUUCAAUGUAUAGCCUUGGCCACAUCACUUAAUAUCUUUGUGCCUCAGUUUCCCAUUUGUUAAAUGGAAUAAUUAUCCAUGUGCUCCUCCUUGGUAGAGUCUGGAUCCCCCUCAAAGUAUAGUGUGAUUGGAACCCAGGCUUGGAGAAGGGAAGAAUGGAAAGAGGUAUGUUGCUCUCUGAUCACAAUCUAAUUUAAAGUUGCAGUAGCGCUGUCUUCUUUAGAGUUAGCCAACGAUCUAUGAGGGAGGGAGGAUCAGUGACUUGCCUGAAGUCACCCAGGAAAAUGUGUGGCUGAGUCAGGAACUGAACCACAUCUCCUGAGUCCAGGGCCUUAACCACAAGACCAUUCUGCCUUAUUCAAGGGGAUGCUGAGGUGGUAUUUACCUCACACUGAUCAACACACUGAGGGCCAGAUCCUCAGCUGAUGUAAAUCAGCACUGCUCUGCUGAAGUCAAUGGGGCUAUGCUGAUUUACACCACCUGAGGAUCUGGUCCUGAAAGUUCCAAAAGAAAUAGCUGCCCCUGAAUAGCUAUGAGCAUAUGUCCUGAUGCCCGUGUGCUAUGCGUCUUGCAGAGGGGUGUCGCCUGUUAGGGAUUAUUCACAUUCAUUAUUGCCUGGCAGAGACAACAGCCAGGUACUGGAGCAGAGGGCGCCAUGGGUUGCUUAGAAAUGCCCUAAGUUUUGGCUGCCUGCCGGUAAGAGAUACCUCAUGAUACACACAGAUGCCUUUUAAAAACAUUAAGCAAACACAAACACUCCAUAUACAAACCCCACAUGACAAAGUCACAAAACAAACACACAGACACAGGAAUGAAAAAUCGUGAACCCCAAACAAAGGGAAACACUCAACAUUUAAAAUACAUGAGACCAGAUUUUCCCUUUACAAUAAAAACGUGAGCAGGGCAGAAGAGGAACAGAGCUAGAAAAGAGUAAAUUGCAUCCUGUCAUCCCACUAAGAAUUUCCAAUAGGGCAAGGCAGACGUUUCAUAGAAGGAAAAGGUGACGUUUAUUCAAAUGUAGUAAAAGGAGCCUCAUUUAUGACUCCUGGAGACUCAGUGUGCAGCUGUUUGCCUAUAACACAGCAAUCAUGUCAAACGGGAGAUCCCUCUUGCUAUGUCAAGGGAGCAGGCAUGGGAGCCAGCAGGUGUUUCAGCAGGAGCAUUCACACAGGCAAUAUGAGGGUGGGACUGUGGUGCUGAAUCCCGGCAGAGAGGAUAACUUGUGAGAAAGGUCAGUCUGAAGGGGAUAAGAAGAGCGAGUGCUGUACACUCUGUACAGUAGGGGCCUGAUAUUUGGAAGUGCUGAGCAGCCACAUCUCAAAUUGAAGUCCCUGGGUGCUGACGAUAUUUGUCCCCUCUGAAAAUCAAGGCCUACAUGGAGAGAGAGCGCUGCAUCCUUUAUCUAUUAGCGCUUCCCAUCUCAAUCCAGCCGUAGCCACGCAUACCUAUUAGCUCCAGAACAGCAGUCUCACAAAUGCUGAAGUUGGAAAACAGCGGAUUGUUUUGUACAACCAGUAACGUCUGCUGCAGAGUUAAGCUAACAAGAUUUAUCUCCCAUCACAAGCACCUAGGCCAUUCAAAGUCAAUCAGCUGGAAACCAGAGCUCCUCCAUUCAAUAACGUUAACCUGAACACCAAAGAGCUUAUGACCUAAUGUGGAGGGGUUCUAGCAGGACCAUAUUGCCAACAGAUUGUAAGCUCCAUGGGGCAGAGGCCGUUUCUUCCUAUGUGUUGAACAGUGUCUAGCACAACAGGGUCUUGAUCUGGAUUAGAAAUAAGUCAAUAUAUAUUAUCAAUAUGACAUGCAUAUCACUAGAAUGGGCUAUUUCAAUUUGGCAUCAGCCCAUUCAGCAAAUACAUCGUCCCCCGAAGCGCAAUAACCUCUCAUUAGCAGCAGAAUUAGAUACAAAGAGGGGCAGAAGGAGAAAUGUAUAUCUGUCCUAUGCAAAUACAGGGAACAUGUCGAGUUCAGGAUGUAGCCCUGGCCACACCUCCUGUUGGGAAAGCCACACCCACUUUUCCAUACCAAAAGUGAACUAGCCACUUGUAACUUUUGGUGUAACUUGCACCAAUGGAAUUCACAACACAGCCAGACAACACAUGGAAAUGUACCACAGCGCAUACCCACAAGUGCAUACAGAACACAGAGCCAAGCAAGGCCAAGUCUACACUGGAACCUUUUGCUGGUAUAAUCGCAUCGGUUAGGGGUGGGGGUUUUUUUAAAUGACAUUUCAAUACUUGCAAAAGCCCUAGUAUAGAUGUAGUUAUACCUGCUAAAAAGUGCUUUUGCCACUAUAGCUUAUUUCGCUUGCCAAACCAGGAUAAGCUAUGCUGGCAAAAGCAUUUUUUGCCAGCAUACGUUGCAUCUACACUAGAUGGUUCUGCCAAAUAGCUAUAUGGGCAAAUCGUCUCUAGUGCAGACUUGGACCAAGACAUGUGGGAAGCACCUUGGACUGUCUGGCGCUGUUGGAGCAGAGAUUGUGUGGUGUGGCUGGUGGUGGCCAUCUCACCCCAUACCACAGAGACAGCAGGACCAGUGAGGGGAGAGAAAACUUUGGUAUUGGGGAUUGUGCCUUUAAGGGCUGAGCUUCCUAGACAGAAACAUCUGAGGUCACUCUCUCUCCAUGAAAAACCUCUUCAGCCCAAACUGGGAGAUCAAGCCCCCUCAAUAGGAAAGACUCUCCUCUAUUUUCAAGCUCCCCCAUCCCUACUUUGAGACUGUCACAGUAGUAUGAUGGAUAAAGAUGACCACAAAAAAAUUAGGGUUUUUUUUUUUAAUUUCCUUUUUUUUCACCUCAGAAAUAUCAGGAAUGUCAAGCCCCCUCUUCCCUGGUUUUGUGGGAGGACUUCUUGGGAGAUUCACAUGUGCUUACAGGCACUCAGCAGCUUAGCUUAGUGGUUCUCAACCAGGGGUAUGUGUACCUCUUGGAGUAAGCAGGGUCUUCCAGGGGGUCCAUCAACUCAUCUAGAUAUUUGCCUAGUUUUACAACAGGCUACAUAAAAAGUACUAGCGAAGUCAGUACAAACUAAAAUUUCAUGCAGACGAUGACUUGUUUAUGCUUCUCUACAUAUUAUACACUGAAAUGUAAGUACAUAUAUAUUCCAGUUGAUUUAUUUUAUAAUCAUAUGGUAAAAAUGAGAAAGUAAGCACUUUUUCAGUGAUAAUAUGCUAUGAUACCUUUGUAUUUUUAUGUCUGAUUUUGUAAGCAAGUAGUUGUUAAGUGAGGUGAAACUUGGGAGUACGCAAGACAGAUCAGACUCCUGAAAGGGGAACAGUAAUCUGGAAAGAGCCACUGGCUUAGUUGAAGAGUUUUAACAAAGAUGUACUUUCUCCAGAGUGUUCAUUGAGCAUUGAAAUUAGAUUAAUAAAACAGAGCAGUCUGAUGAAAAAUUCCUCCCCAUCCCAAUUGUUCAGUCUCCUGUGAUGGCAUAGUUUCACUAAUUCUUCAGAAACUUCCAAGGUAGAUAAGACCUGAUUUUCUAAAGUAAAAACAGAUUAUUAUUUUUUUAAAAAAUCUUUCAGAACUUCUAAUCAAAAAGACAGAAGCCCAAUCUUUAUUUCUUUUACAGGUUAAAUUUAAGACGUGAAAGGGACAGGACUGGAUCACCCAGUGGAUUUACUAACUCUCUAACAAGCUCAGAUGUCACAGUGAUGAUCAUUGGACAGAUAGAUGGGUUAGAUGUGCUUGCUCACCUAUCUAAGACAGAACCAGAGAGCUCUCCUCAGUUUUCCAGGCUGUAGGAUCAUUUCCCCCCAGUUUGGAGGCUGAGCCAUACUGCUGUCAGGAAUUAUUUGUGUUUAUGACAAUAAUGGGCCCAGUGCUGCUUUCAUUUAUAACAGUGUAAAUCAGGAGUGAGCCCAUGGCAGCCAAUAGAAUUACACAGGUGUAAAGUCAGUGUGAGAGCAGAAUCAGCUCCAGGGUAGUUAGUAUGAAUAAGAACAAAGGGCAAAGUUCUCUGCUGGUAUAAAUGGGUAAAACUCCAUUGAAGUCAGGGGAGCUGCAACCAUUAACAACAGCAGAGAACUUGGACCAAGAUUUUGAUGAGAGACUCUCAUCGGCUCGGUUUUCCUCUCACACUGGUAUAAAUAGCUCCUCUGGAAAAGUGUAAAAAACACUGAGAGCAGAAUCAGACCCUUUAUAAUCAUUGGUAUUGCUGUACUAGAGACCCUGACCAAGGCCCCAUUGCAGUAGAUGCCAUACAAA